UAAGAGUUUUGUGCCAGGAACCACGAACAAAGAGUAUUACCACAGGCAUGCAGGCAUGGAAGCUAGUUGCAACAAGGAAAGGGAAAACUUGGCAAAAGCUUUGUCCCAUGGCCUAGACUAAUCCAGUAGGUACAAGGAUCAUGCCUAGGUGUUACAGGAAAGGGGUCCCAAUCCAGACCCCCAAGAGAGGGUUCUUGAAUCUCGCACAAGAAAGAAUUCGAGGUGAGUUCAUACAGUGAAAGCAAGUUUAUUAAGACAGUAAAGGAAUAAAAGAAUGGCUACUCCCUAGGCAGAGCAUUCUCAAGAGCUUCUGGUUGCCCAUUUUUAUGGUUAUUUCUUGAUUAUAUGCUAAACAAGAGGUUGAUUCUUCAUGAGUUUUCACAGUAAGGAGUGGACAACUCCCAGAACUGAGGGUUCUUAGCCUUUUUAGACCAUAUAGGGUAAUUUCCUGAUGUUGCCAUGGCAUCUGUAAACUGUCACAGCACUGGUGGGAGUGUCUUUUAGCAUGCUAAUAUAUUGUAACUAGCUUAUAAUGAGCUGUGAGGAUGACCAGAGGUCACUCUUGUCACCAUCUUGGUUUUGAUGGGUUUUGGCCGGCUUCUUAACUGCAACCUGUUUUAUCAGUAAGGUCUUUAUGAUCUGUAUCUUGUGCCAACCGUCUAUCUCAUUCUGUGACUAGGAAUGCCUUAACCUCUUGGGAAUGCAGCCCAGUAAGUCUAAGCCUCAUUCUACCCAGCCUGUUUUCAAGAUGGAGUCAUUCUUGUUCUAAUACCUCUGACACAGAGAUUGCAAAAGGUUGCAGGACUCCACCUGGUGUCCUGGCUCCUGGAUUUGACAGACAGCUGAGGAACCUGGACUAGGGUGUAGGGUGGGGUUGUUACUGGUGGGUUCUGCAGUACAGGUGGUUCAUCACUUUCUUUCUCUGAGAAUGUGACUUUCACACCCCCAUGGAUGCCAAUCUAAUCAGAAAUGUCUCAGGUGCUGGGAUAAUGCAGGGAGACUGUGAGUGGAGCAUCAGCAAGUAGCAGAUAAUCCAACUCAAGCUUAGUUGACACCAGGGGAGGGAUCAACUGGGCAUGAGACUAAGGCUCCCAGUGGGAAGAUAGGCACAGCAGGUGCUAGCCAAGCCACCACACAAGGACAUUAGGACUAGUCUCUCUCUCCAUCCUUCUUCUGCUCUCCUCUGUGCUGGCUUCAUUCUAAGGAUGACUCUCACUUCACGGUUGCCAAGCUUUUAUCCUGCUGGCCUUGGAGGUCUUGCAAACAGAGAGGGCUCAUUCCUUGCAGACUCACUAAAGUCUCAGGGAGGAUUGCAUGGGUUCAGCUGCUAUCCUGGCCCCUGAACCAAUCACCAGGCUGUCUUCUCCACUGUAUCUUCCCAAUUCCCCUUGGCACAUGCAAAUCAAUCUAUAUAAAUAGACCCUAGGCAGCUUCUGGCCCCGCCAACUCAUUAUUUAUGCAUAAGCAAGUCUGAAUCUUUGUUUAGGCUGAGCUACAGGACCAGGUAAGCACCCGUAGGCUUGCAUGCAGGCAUAUGCGUGCACACACACAGUUGCACACGUAUACAAGCACGCACAUAUCCAGAAGCAAGCAUAGCGCUCUCAGUCAAUCAUGUGUAAAAUGUCAGCCUGGCCUUCCUGUGAGUGUUUAGAAACAGUCUGAAGAGCCCUUGACGAGAGAAGUUGUCGUGGGUUUUGUUUCCUGUAAAAGCUUCUGUCAGUAAGCCUGGCAUGUUGUUUUUUUUUCCUUCAGACAAUGAGAGUCUUCUUUCUGUAGACAGAGGAAAACAAACACAUGUCCGUUUAUUAGGUAGACGCGAUGAGACAGAAAAUGUCAGCUGAACCUGGCAGCCUCAAGCAGUGAGUGAUUUUCUUCCUCGUGUGCCUCUUCCCAAUUUCAUCUUUAGUCAGAACAGCUCCGAAGAAAUCCUUGAGCUUAUGCAACCACUUCUUGGAAACUCCAGUGGUCCCAUUUUCCAGUUUUCUAAUACAGGCAUUUUCACAUCAUCACCAGAUGCUGGGCUGUUAGCGAGUAAUAUUGCCUUGGGAGGCUUUGCCUGUUAAGAAAUUGCUUGAAGUGUCCUUUCUCUUUCCUGUGAAAUUUUAAAUCAUCAUUUACAUGGAGCCCUGACAGCAUUUUUCAGGGCCUCUUUCAUUUACUUGGGCUUCUUGAUUGCUCUGAAGGUCCCAGCUGCCCCCUGCGCAGGUUCUGGGAGCCCAGGCCGACUCUGUCACAGAGAUUCCGAUUCACAGAAUCCAGGAGCAAGGUGGAAGGACCCUUAAGAGUCUCCCAAUGUAGCCUUUUAUUCAUUCUGUCCUACAGCAUUUUUAGUAGUUGAAUCUUUUAUUCCAACCAAAUUUUACGUAAGAUAGAUGAAAGUCAAGCCCUUCAGGUUACAGGCAUGCCAGGGAGCUAAUAGUGCUGUCCUGCUUAGCACCAAGUCCCAUCCUGUAUUAGUCUGUUCUCACACUGCUGAUAAAGACACAGGGGUAAUUUAUAAAGGAAAGAGGUUUAAUGAACUCACAGUUCCACAUGCCUGGGGAAGCCUCACAAUCAUGGUGGAAGGCGAAGGAGGAGCAAAGACAUGUCUUACAUGGCGACAGGCAAGAGAGUGUGCGCAGGGGAACUGCCCUUUAUAAAACCAUCAGAUUUCAUGAGACUUAUUCACUAUCAUGAGAAUAGCACAGGAAAGACCCACCCCCAUGACUCAGUUACCUCCCACUGGGUCCCUCCCAUGACACGUGGGAAUUGUGGGAGCUACAAUUCAAGUAACAAGCUACAGUUCAAAUAACAGAUAUUUGAGUGGGGACACAGGCAAACCAUAUCACACUCUCACCCUCCACCCUCCUAAUUCCUAACCUAUCUGUCCCUCCAGGGAGGCCUUUUGCAGCAUCUCUUGUGGAUCUCUGCAUUGCCCCAUUUAAAACAACGAUGCUGUAGGUUCUAGGCUUCCUGCUUCUCCAUGGCCCCAGCAUCAUGCAGCUUCCCAGGGCAGGGCCUCCUGCCUGGCUAAGUAGACUCUCCUCACCUGGCUCUCAAUCUCUAGUCUUGCCCAGCUCUCAUCUGCUUGUCACACCAAAGCCACGAGGAUCCUUCUAAACUACAAACUGGGCUGUGUCACAUGCCUAUUUAAAAUCCUCCUUCCUGGCUGGGCACAGUGACUCAUGCUUGUAAUCCCAGCACUUUGGGAGGCCCAGGCAGGAGGGUCACUUGAGGUCAGGAGUUCAAGACCAGCCUGGCCAAUAUGGUGAAACCCCAUCUCUACUAAAAAUAUAAAAAUUAGCCAGGCGUGGUGGUGGGCACCUCUAAUCCCAGCUACUUAGGAGGCUGAGACAGGAGAAUUGCUUGAACCCAGGAGGUGGAGUUUGCAGUGAGCUGAGAUCAUGCCACUGCACUCCAGCCUGGGUGACAGAGCAAGCCUCUGUCUCAAAAAUAAAUAAAUAAAUAACCCUCCUUCCCAUAGUGGGAGGGUGUGUGAGAGGUGGGGAUGGUUAAUAGAUACAAAAAACAUAGUUAGAAAGGAUGAAUAAGACCUAGUAUUUGAUAGCACAACAGGGUGACUAUAGUCAACAAUAAUAGAAUUAUACAUUUGAAAAUAAGUAAAAGAGAUUAAUUGGGUUGUUUGUAACACAAAGGAUAAACGUUCGAGGAGAUGAAUGCCCCAUUUUCCAUGAUGUGAUUUUUAUGCAUUGCAUACCUAUAUUCAAAUACCUCAUGUACCCAUAAACAUGUACACCUAUUAUGUACCUACACAAAUUAAAACAAAACAUUAAAAAAUAAAGUAAGUUAAAAAAAUAAAUAAAGUCUCCCUUCCCUGUUGUUUCUCAAUGACCUGAGGGUAAAGUUCGAGCCACUUGGUAAAGUGUAAAAGACCCGUCUUAUCUGACUGCUGUCUUAUCUGACUGCUGUCUUAUCUGGGCUGCUGCUUGACUGUCUAGUUUCAUCUGUUGACGAUAAGUUCUACGUCCAGCUGGAUGGAACUGGGAGCUGGACAUUUGAUGUGUUAUGCUUGUUCUGCUUAGGGUGAGCCUGAGCUGGGAAACCCUUCCCCCUCGCUCCCUGCACCUUACUCACCUCAGCUUGUCUUCACCCACUAACUUCUCCCACCUCUUCUUCCACAUCAGGAGCCUGUCCCUCCCCUUUUCCCAGAUCCUUAUGGCUUUCUCAGUCACUGCAUGGAUCCUGCCUAUGUUAGAAUUGCUUGUUUUCUUCUCUGUGGCCCUCACUUAACUAAUCUCUGUGAGGGCAGUGAGCAUGUCCAUCUUGGUCCCUGCUGUAUUCUCAACGCGCAGUAAUGCUUUGCAAAGAAAAGAUGCUCAGAAAGUAUUUGCUGAACAUAUAAAUGGGAGCUGGUUUCAGUGGCUCAUGCCUUUAAUCCCAACAGUUUGGGAAGCUGAGGCAGGAGGAUCAUUUGAGGUCAGGAGUUUGAGACUAGCCUGGGCAACAUAGUGAGACCCUGUCCGUACAAAAACCUUAAGAAGAAGAUUAGCUGGGCAUGAUGGUAUGCACUUGUAGUCCCAGUUACUCGAGAAGAUGAGGCAGGAGGAUCACUUGAGCCCAGGAGUUUGAGGCUGCAGUGCGCAAUGAUCCUACUGCACCACUACACCCUAGCCUGUGUGACAGAGCCAGACCCUGUCUCUAAAAGAGAAGCAGCAACAAUAAAAACAUAAAAAUAAAAAUUACUCUUGCUCUGGACCCCAUCCAGUGAUUUCCAGGCUCCUUCAACCUUUUUCAACAGUUCCUGACUUUUAUCAGCUUGACCAUUACUUGUGAUUCCUUUGUCUGUCUGCAGACCUUUCCAGUAACCUCCAGGUUCCCUGAAGGUCCCACAAUUUGCUUUUCCUUCCCUAGUCAGGACCGUCCAGACAUACUCCAUGCUUUCUUCCUUGUGGGGAUGACAUGAUCCCCAGCUCCAUGAGAGCAGAGAUCUUCUGCGUCUUGCCCAUUGUGGUGUUCUAGUGCUUGGCACUUAGUAGGUGCUCAGUAAACAUUUGUUGAAUGAAUUUUUAAAAAUCAGUCGUGCAAUCCAUGGACAACAGAAGCUUGAGCUCAUCUCUGCCAGUGGAUAUGAACAGAUGUGUCCUUACCCCCUUUGGGCUACUCAUGGAACUGCUUUUGGGUUAAAAUGUUGCCAGGGCAUAACUGCUUCUCUUGCAAUCUCUUCUGAUGGAUUUAGGUUCUAGCUCUGAUUCUCUGGACCUGGGAGAGGGGUCCUUAUGUCUCAUCCGCUAUGUCUUUCCUCAUUCUCCUUUCAGCAGCUACAAGAUAGGCCAUUCAAGAAGCCACCACUCCCUGCAAGAGGAGAGAUUUCAGCUCUUAGGAGAAUUUAUUGCAGAGAUUAGAUGCUGCCAAACCCUUCAAUAUCAGCUCCCAUCUAAACACAGGCUCAGAGAUAGGAAUGAAUUCAAGUUGUCUGUUUAGAAGACUUUUGCAGGCUUCAGGAAGCCACUGCCUGUCAUGGAAGAUUGAUUCACAGGAAUAUGGCAAGGAAGCCCGGGCAUUCAGUGACAAGGCACAUCUUUGCCAAGUGUCUUGGCACAUCUUUGCCAAGUGUCUCAAAUAGCCUGGGAACAAAAUUCACCAAGGGGAAGAUGGUGCUGUCCCCUUGGUUUACAUGUUGGAGGUGUGAGUCUUUGCAACUUCCUGACAACAAGGCUUCCUAGUUCCCAUUUAAAAUCAAGUCAGUUUUAUAAAGCAUUAACAUGAUGAGAUGCAUUAAGCUAAAGAGUGCCUUUUAAGAAUAAUAGCAAAUAAUUUAUAAUGGAUGCAUCAGCUUUAGUAAAAAGUUUUUUUUUGGUGACAAAAUAAAAUCAUACAUAAAAGGCAAGUAAGACAGUUUCACUUUAAUAGGGUGCCCAAGUGGAGUAAAAAAAAAUGUCAAAGCCAAAGUGUUUGUAGGAGUGAAAGAUUCUCAAGAGAAAGUAAGAUGAGACAUCAAACGAAUUGGCUUUGGUAGAAGACAGGUCUAGGCUGCAAAAACAACCUGGAUAGCUUGCUUGCUUGCUUUCUUGCUUUCUUGCUUGCUUGCUUUCUUGCUUGCUUUCUUUCUUGCUUUCUUUCUUGCUUGCUUGCUUGCUUGCUUGCUUUCCUUCUUUCUUUCUUUCUUUCUUUCUUUCUUUCUUUCUUUCUUUCUUUCUUUCUUUCUUUCUUUCUUUCUUUCUUUCUUUCUUUUUUUUCUUUGAGAUGGAGUUUGCUCUUGUUGCUCAGGCUGGAGAGUGCAAUUGUGCAGUCUCAGCUCACUGCAACCUCUCCGCUUCCCAGGUUCAAGCAAUUCUCCUGCCUCAGGCUCCCGAGUACCUGGGAUUACAGGGGUGUGCCACUGUACCCAGCUGAUUUUUGUGUUUUUAGUAGAGAUGAGGUUUCACCAUGUUGGCCAGGCUGGUCUUGAACUCCUGACCUCAGGGCAUCCACCCACCUGGGCCUCCCAAAGUGCCGGAUUAUAGGCGUGAGCCACUGCACCUGGCCCACAAUGUGGACAGCUUCUGAUUGUGACCCCCAAAAUCACGGGUCUUGGUUGAGUCUGUUUCCACAUCUGAACUUCAGUUUAGGGAUACUGCAGUGUACUUCUGCUGGAUUUGCCCCUACAGUAUUCCUCUGGGGAAACAACCCUACUCCACUCAUCCUCCCACAAGAAGUCACUUCUUGGCCAGGCACGGUGGCUCACGCCUGUAAUCUCAGCACUUUGAGAGGCUGAGGCGGGUGGAUCACAAGGUCAGGAGUUUGAGACCAGCCUGAUCAACAUGGUGAAACCCCACCUCUACUAAAAAUACAAAAAUUAGCCAGGUGUGGUGGCACGCACCUGUAAUCCAAGUUACUCAGGAGGCUGAGACAGAAGAAUGGCUUGAACCCAGGUGGCAGAGGUUGCAGUGAACCAAGAUUGUGCCACUGCACUCCAGCCUGGAUGAAAGAGCAAGAGUCCAUCUCAAAAAAAAAAAAAAAAAAAAUUACUUCUCAUAUCCCAACUCAGGAGGGCACACAGCUCAUGUCUGCCUCACUUUCAUUCUGUAAGGGCUAGUGGGUGAGAUGGAUUGCAUCUGUGACAUUAAUUCUUCACCCUGCUCCCCGCAUGCAUGCUGUUGCAUUCCUCUCACUAAAAAGGAGGAAGCCCGUUUCUCCAUCCUUGACACUGGAGUUGCCAAUCAGAUGCAGUGGAAGUGGGGGUGAGUCACUGUGGUGCUGAGACCUGCCUGGUGAGUUUCCACUGGCUACUGUUGUGCUUUGCUAUUGAUAUCAUCCCUACCAUCUCCAUAGGAGUGACAAAAAUUGCAUGCUGGGUUCUGGAGAGAAAUAUAAUUCAGCAUUCAUUAGGCUGCACUCUUACCCAUUUCCUUGUUAUUAAAGUCACAGCACUAGAUACUGACCAUUGCAUUCCUAUCAUUCCUAUAGACAGGAUCUCUGACAUGAGAGUCACAGGCUGUUUAAGAAUUGAUUUGCAUACCCAUUGUUCCUAUAGACAGGAUCUCUGGCAUUAGAAUCAUAAGGCUUUUGUUUAAAGAUCACUUUAGAUGUUUUUCAGGUCCUGAAUUCCAGUGGAAUAGCUGAAGCCCACCAGUUCGAAGAUUCCCAGGGAGGAACCAAAUCGACACAUGAAUACAGCUUCUUUCAUCCCCCUGUCCAAUGACUUCGCCCUGUACUCUUUGACCAAUCAAUGAGCUCCACAUUUUAGCCUACUCCAAAACCCUUAAAAACGCUUACCCCAAAUCCCUCAGAAAUGGACUUGAGGUUUCCUCCUAUCUUGUUGUUUGGUAGCCUACGAUUAAACCUCUUUCUCUGCUGCAACCUGGUGUCUUGGGGUGUUGACUUGCAGAACACAUCUGGCAAUGGAUCUGUUACAGUUAUGCAUUCACCAUGGGAACAUGCCUGCUGGAGAAGGAAAAACGUGUGGAGCAGAGCCAACUCACUCCAGUCUCCUCAACCGGUAGCCAACCAACUCCCAGACUCCUUCCAUGUAAACAUCCACAUACUCUGGGGAAACCUGCUGCCAAAGUAGGAGGAUUCCAAAGGACCUAGAGGAAGAAAAAGCUACAAUAUGGAAGACACCUGAGUUUCUGAAGGACUGUGUGGAGCACUUCCUUCUGCUGAUGAACAUGUGCUAUGAAAAAUAAACUUAUUUUGUUUAGCAACUAAGAUUUCUGAAUUACUUGUUACAGCAGUUAGUAUAUCCUGAUUAACAGACCUCAUCUUUUAUUCCUUUGGGCUUGAAUUUGAUGGCUUACCUGUGCUUUUCUUUGGCUUGACCAAGUAGUAUAGCAGCUGGCUUUCUGCUUGGUCAUUCUUUGCUCAGCAUUGAUAAAAUAGAGCAUAAUGAAGACAGAACAUUAAACACCUCCUUUUAAUCUUGUUUACCUGUUCAAUUUGCUUUGAAAGUGUUUAUUAUUUUAGAAAGGGCAAAAAGGUAUUGUAUUUAAUGGGAAGGUAAUUAACUAGG
rnacentral:lncRNA from 10 species